rnacentral:misc_RNA from 1 species
CAACCCUCAAGCACUGCUUGGUAUUGGAUGUUACUGUUGUGGUGCAUCUCAAAGUUAUUGGUGGGCAGCAUUCAGCUUCUGGUGUAGUAAAAUUCUCGCCAUGGAGUUUUAAUGUCUAGCUUUGCCGGAACCCCAAUGGAUUUAAA